UACGAAGGGGGGCUAGCGUUGCUCGGAAUCACUGGGCGUAAAGCGCACGUAGGCGGAUUGCUAAGUCAGGGGUGAAAUCCUGGAGCUCAACUCCAGAACUGCCCUUGAUACUGGCGGUCUCGAGUCCGGGGAGAGGUGAGUGGAACUGCGAGUGUAGAGGUGAAAUUCGUAGAUAUCGCAAGAACACCAGUGGCGAAGGCGGCUCACUGGCCCCGGUACUGACGGCUGAGGUGCGAAAGCGUGGGGGAGCAAACAGG
rnacentral:rRNA from 1 species